CUGGCAGGCAGAGCAGAGCCCCACAGGUGCAAUGGUCUCUGGUAGAGCUGGGGAGAAGGCUCCCUCCCUUAAGUUACACGGUGGAGCCAUCGAAACCUGUGGCCCGUGGGGGUGACCACGUUGCUGCAGGUGGACUCCUCCCACAUCCUCUGUCAAUACUAGGAUUCUGCUUUCUUCAGUGCUAUUCUGGGCUCCUUCCUUGCAGAAAGACCUGCUCCCCAGAGCUCCUCAGUCCUGCCCAACAGUGGAAUUCUGCCUAGUCCUGCACCAGGUUGCUGUGUACCCAGAGCGUCUACCCUCUAGCACUGUUCCCAGGAGGCAGCUCAGCCCCCAGGCAACAGACAUCCACCAGGUAACAGCCACCAGGGCAGGUCCAGAGAGCUCUGAACCCUGGCAGUGGAUGGCAGUGGGUCUCAGUCAGGCUAAAGCCGAGAUCCUUCCAUACAGCCGUGGUCUCUUGUUCCUACUGGAAGACUGGUCUGUGGGCUUUUCCGCCCUGUUUUAUUUCUGAGCAUUGGUCUCACCAAACUCUCUCCAAGAAAAAAUCAGGUGUGUGUGAGGACCCUUUCCAUGAAGGUCUACGAAGACAACGGUGUGUCUCCCAAGUCAGGGACCCCCUAACUGGCUGCUGCCUGUUGCCUUUAGUCUCUGCUCUAUCACAGGCACGGCCCCCUUGGAGCAUUACCUGAGAUAUCUCACAAGCAUAAUCUUCUACUGAUUUCUGAUCUUCCCACAAAUUCAGACUCUAGUAAGAUCGAAGUUGAUGAGGUUUAGGUGAUUUCAAUUUUCACAUCCAGAUGAUGUGUGGCAAAUGGUAUGUGAUUAUUUAGCAUAGAGCACAUUUCAACUUUGUGACUAUAAAAAUACAAUCUAGGCUAUAAAUAUCUAUAUGAAAUUUAGAAGAAAUUUUUCCCAUGCAGAAAAAAACAGCUUCAGAUGUCAUGAAUGUGUUAGACACAGGUAAGCGCCAAGUUUAAGAGAAACAAAACAUUCACUGACAGCUGUUAAGUAUGCAUUUGAUUUAGAAUAGAGUUAACGUCAGUUGUCUCUGAAAUUCACCACUUUAGCGGUCAGUGCUCUUGUUUCUCUUCUAUUUGCUACUUUUUAUUCUUGUUUUUCUUUGAAACUCAGUAUCUUUCUUAAAUCCACCCCUAGUUUGGUUCCACCUUUCCUCAGAGACCCAGUGAGGUAGUUUACACAGUGCGUGCUAGCAUAGAGAAUUCAUAGAGCUGACUACAAAUUUAAAACAAUAUUUGCAUUCUAGCUGAAGUGAGUUGAUUUGUGAGUCAGUAUUUGGUUAAUGCUCCAUGAUCUUCACAGUGAAAGCAAGAUCCAAGUACACUGUAUUAUUGCUUCACUGUCUUUUCGUAAAGCACCUGGUACCAUGACAAUAUUCACUAGGUAAAUAAAUGAAAUGAAAUAUA